GGGUAGUCCAAGUGCAGUGGUGUUUACAACUAACUGAUCACAACCAGUUACAGACUUCUUUGCCUUUCUCCACUCCCACUGCUUCAUCUGACUAGCCUUAA
ensembl:Y_RNA Y_RNA Y RNA